rnacentral:rRNA from 1 species
UGGCCCUACGGGACGCAGCAGUGGGGAAUAUUGCACAAUGGGGGAAACCCUGAUGCAGCGACGCCGCGUGAGUGAAGAAGUAUUUCGGUAUGUAAAGCUCUAUCAGCAGGGAAGAAGAAAGACGGUACCUGACUAAGAAGCCCCGGCUCACUACGUGCCAGCAGCCGCGGUAAUACGUAGGGGGCAAGCGUUAUCUGGAUUUACUGGGUGUAAAGGGAGCGUAGACGGCUGUGCAAGUCUGAAGUGAAAGCCCAGGGCUCAACCCUGGGACUGCUGUGGAAACUGUGGAGCUAGAG